CUUGGGUCACAUGAUAAGGGGAGAGCACACACAGGAGGUAUGAGGACAGGACCUUCCAUAUUCCCUACUUCCUCUGCGGCUCUUCAACCAUCACAUCCGGGUCCCCCAGCCCCUUAUAUUACUUGCCUGCGCAGUUGCCGUGGACCAUUAGGAUAGCUCACAUCGCUGGGCAAUGCUAACACAAGAGCAGAAAGCCAGGAGAGGUGUAAAAAUUGGAACCAUUUGGCCCACUUAACAGCAAAAUGAUGCAAGUUGUUCAGCCUGGAAAACUCUUCAUAGGAGGCCUCAAUGCAGAGACCAAUGCAAAGUCUAUUGAAGCAGUGUUUGGAAAAUUUGGACACAUACUAGAAGUUCUAUUGAUGAAGCAUUGAGAAACGAAGAAGUCUAGAGGCUUUGCUUUUAUUACUUUUGAAAGCCCUGCAGAUGCUAAGUGUUUGGAUGGAAAAACAAAGUAGAGCAAGCCAAGAAGAAACCAUCUUU